AUACACUCCUGGCACCCUUUCAUCUGUAAGUUAGUGGUUUCUGCCUUUGCGGUAACAAAAGGAGUCUGAAAGCUUAACCACAGGACCUGAAGAAUGCGAUGACUGGUAGAGAUGAGUCAGGUUGUCUGUGCCUCACCUUGAUGAAUGCUGAAAGGAGUACCCAACAUCCUAUGAUAGUGAUGACAGCAUUUCCCACCAUGUUGCUCAAGGCUCAAGCCUCGGUAAUUACUUGGUCUGAAUCCAAGAGAUAACAAGUAGUAGUUUAAAUGAUUGCUUCACAGCCUUCAAAAGUUUCAGUCCAAAAAAAUCCCCAAGGAGGACUUUACUUGGCCCAACUUGAAUGAGUAUCAACAUCUGGUCCAAUCAACUAGGGCCCUGGGGUGAAGUCAGCCACUCACUGCAGCCAAGAACCUGCAAAGAGCGAACUGGUCUGUAUUAAACUUUCUAAGCCAAGGCUACC
ensembl:lncRNA